rnacentral:sRNA from 1 species
UGCUGCUCGCAUUUAUCAGCACGAUUAACCCUCCGCUAGGAAGUUCCUCGUUUUCUGGAAAUGCUCGCCGCAUCAGAGAAGCAAUAGUGAUGCUGGGUUACCCAGCGAUUUUUAAAUUAAAGUAAGUUAGGAAAGAUUAUGUCUGAUACAGUAACUGGCACCGUAAAGUGGUUUAACGAAUCGAAAGGUUUCGGAUUCUUGGAGCGCGCCGGCGGUCCUGACGUUUUCGUUCAUUUCAGUGCAAUCACGGGUGACGGUUUCCGUACACUGAACGAAGGCCAAAAAGUUUCGUUCACUAUUACUCAAGGUCAAAAAGGCCCACAAGCUGAGAAUGUCUCUGUUGUUGAGUAAGCGAGUUACCGCUUAAAAUAAAAAUGACCGGCAAGCCGGUCAUUUUUUU